AUACGGAGGGUGCAAGCGUUAUUCGGAAUUACUGGGCGUAAAGCGCGCGUAGGCGGAUAUUUAAGUCUCAUGUGAAAGCCCUGGGCUCAACCUGGGAACUGCAUGGGAUACUGGGUAUCUAGAAUACAGUAGAGGGUAGUGGAAUUUCAGGUGUAGCGGUGAAAUGCGUAGAGAUCUGAAGGAACAUCAGUGGCGAAGGCGACUACCUGGACUGAUAUUGACGCUGAGGUGCGAAAGCGUGGGGAGCAAACGGGAUUAGAAACCCUAGUAGUCC
rnacentral:rRNA from 1 species